AGGAUGAACGCUGGCGGCGUGCCUAACACAUGCAAGUCGAACGUCCUGUCUCGCAAGAGGCAGGGAGUGGCGGACGGGUGAGUACCACGUGGGUUAUCUACCGUGAGGUGAGGAAUACCGGCGAGAAAUCGCCGACAAGACCGCAUAGCCUCGGUGCAAGCCGAGGAAAGCUUUCUCGAGAGAGGGAGCGCCACACGAGGAGCCUGCGCCCGAUUAGCUAGCUGGUGGAGUAACGGUUCACCAGGGCGACGAUCGGUAGCUGGUCUGAGAGGACGAUCAGCCACACUGGGAUUGAGAACGGCCCAGACUCCUACGGGGGGCAGCAGUGAGGAAUUUUCGUCAAUGGGGGCAACCCUGAACGAGCAACGCCGCGUGCAGGAAGAAGGUUUUCGGAUCGUAAACUGCUUUUCGUCGGGGAAGAGAACGGACGGUACCCGAGGAAUCAGCCCGGCUAACUACGUGCUAGCAGCCGCGGUAA
rnacentral:rRNA from 1 species